UUUCAAAAGAGGUAUAGACAAACAUUUUAAGUAACAUUUCAAAAGAGGUAUAGACAAACAUUUUAAGUAACAUUUCAAAAGAGGUAUAGACAAACAUUUUAAGUAACAUUUCAAAAGAGGUAUACACAAGUUUACGCGCUGUAUCCCGGGUGGCGCCAUAACUCUACACAAAUGCAUUUCAUUUCCGCCGGAAGUUGUUGGCACAACGUCUGCCGGUGUAAACACAGCGAUGUCGACGCUAGCUUGGGAACACGGUUCUACUACUAUGCCGCAACCCGUCAAGGAGCGGAGGGGGAGGAACUUGCAAGGGACUAUUUGGAAACUCUGGGCAACAGCAUUGAAACCAAAGGCUUAGUGGUGUGCGAAAAGGAACCGUGGCUUGCAGCAUCUCCCGAUGGAGUGAUAAACAACGACAUUCUGUUGGAGAUCAAAUCACCUGUGAUGGGAAACAAGUCACUUGCAGAAUUUUUGGCAACAAAGAACUGCGAAAUCACAACUGUGGCAAACGGAGAUAGGGUAGAUUACCAUAUUGCCUGCAAUGGUCCAAAAGGCUACUACAUGCAGGUACAAAUUGGGAUGCACUGCACAGGGCUUCAGCACUCCAAGUUGGUGAUCUGGAACAAAACUGAGCACCUAGAAAUCGAAGUACCCUACGACCAAGGCUUUGUCCAGGGGCAUAUCAUAAGGCUGCGCACAUUCUACUUUGCCCACAUGCUCCCGAAAAUUGUUGAUGAUUUUGUUGAGGGAAGGUUACAGUUCUGCAGUAAAUAUCUCAGCAUUUUAAAACCAAAAUAAACUGCCUUAUUUAGGUCAUGCCCACAGGAGCCAAUAGAUGUCAAUUGUUUACAUGAUCUCUUUAUGCUGUGCAAUAUAUCAGUGUGCCUACUGUUUGAGUGAAAAUAAAGUUUGAUGUAAUUUCAA